GGAGUUAGCCGGUGCUUCUUCUGUGAGUGAUGUCCUUCCUGCCGGCUAUUAACCCGCAGGCCUUCUUCCUCACUGAAAGUGCUUUACAACCCGAAGGCCUUCUUCACACACGCGGCAUGGCUGGAUCAGGGUUGCCCCCAUUGUCCAAUAUUCCCCACUGCUGCCUCCCGUAGGAGUCUGGGCCGUGUCUCAGUCCCAGUGUGGCUGAUCAUCCUCUCAGACCAGCUACGGAUCGUCGCCUUGGUGAGCCGUUACCUCACCAACCAGCUAAUCCGACAUAGGCUCAUCCGAUAGCGCGAGGCCCGAAGGUCCCCCGCUUUCCCCCGUAGGGCGUAUGCGGUAUUAGCCUGGGUUUCCCCAGGUUACUCCCCACUACCGGGCAGAUUCCUAUGCAUUACUCACCCGUCCGCCGCUCGCCACCAGGGAGCAAGCUCCCCGUGCUGCCGCUCGACUUGCAUGUGUAGCNCGCCGCCACGCGUCAUCUGAGCGAGAUACAACUACUCGA
rnacentral:rRNA from 1 species